GGGGCUAUAGCUCAGUGGUAGAGUGCUUGCUUCACACAUGCAAGGCACUGGGUUCGAUCCUCAGUACCUCA
rnacentral:tRNA from 1 species